GUGACGGGGCUGGCAUGGGGUCUUGUUAGGUUACCCAGGCUGGAGUGCAGUGGCUCUAUAGUAGUCCUAGCACACUAUAGUCUUGAACUCCUGGGCUCAAGCCAUCCAACUGCCUCGGCCUCUAAGUGGAUGGGACUACAGGUGCACAUCAUUGUUCACCUCUUCCUAGCCACAGUGUAUCCCUAUUCGGCUAAGUGAAGUCCAGCUGCCACUCUAGUGCUGAGUAAUUACUUGUUCAUUAGAAGUUCUGCCUUUUGACUCUGUAGCACCCUUGAGUCUUGAGGAACAUAGAGGAAACUGUUGAGAAUGUGUAAGAUGGCCCUUUUGUUUGGCUUAGGUUUCACGUGGCCUAGGAGGAGAGGGACUAUGACUGUUUUAUAUUCUGGCCUGGAACUCACCUGCAGGUGACACCCUUUCAAAGAAUAUGAAAGACUUCUGUAGUGUGUCACCCUCCCCUCCCUCCCAUACUUUUUAGUCACUAUUGGGCAACGUGUCGUCAUUUAAAUGGCGGAGUUCAGUGGUAGACUUUAGUUUACACAUGCAAAAUAAGAAAGAUAUUAGUAAUCGUCUGGUGGUGCACAUUUGGGUGAGUAAAUUUGCCAGGGCUUUUAGAAAAUUAAGCUCUAUUCCAUUCAUAGGGAUUUAAUAAACUCAAGCAAUCACCUCCUCAGCCCACCUUCUUUGCCUCAACAUUCAGUUUAAUUACUUGUUUACUUGUGUUGUCUCCCUACUCUUUCUACCCCCAAAUGCUGGGCUGUGAGCUUCUUGAAUGUAGGAACCAUGUUUAUUUUUUGUACUAUUGGGUCUCCAGUGUCUAGCAGAACCCUUUUCUCAUAAGAGAUGCUCAAAGCUGACCUUGUGCCCUGUUUGAAAAGGCUUUAUUCCAAGUGGUUUAAGUUAUAUUAAAAAUAGGCUAUGUGUUACAGUUGAAAGAAAUAGUCAACUUGGGUUCUGGUCCUGGCCCUGCCAUUGAUAGAAACUUUACUAUGAUGCUGGAUUGAACAGCCUUGGAUUAUUUCAGUCUGGGCAUCUCAUUAUUCAUUUGAAAUAUUUCUAGUGUGAAAGGCACAUCAAAACAUACCCCUUCUGUUUCCUAUUGUCAUUGCAUUUUGGUAUCUGUACAUCACUAGAUCAUGAACUUUGGCAGGUCUUUGCUUGUUUUUCAAACACAUCCCUGUUGUCUUUUCAUUUUUCCCACCUUUCAACAUUUUGCCAACAUAACUUUCUUGGUUUUUUCUUCCUGAGAAGUAUUUUAAUGCAUUGUCUUUGGCCCUCUGCAGAGAAUGCAGCCCACAGGCAGUUCUGCCCUUUGCUAUAACCUUAAUUAAAUCAGCCUCUGUCAGGACAGACUUCGACUUUGGUUCUUUCUUUGGAAGGCCAGCUGCAAGGCUGGUGACGCGCCUGCACUUGCCAUUGUGUGCCUCUGCACUGCCAUCCGUCACUGCCAGCAGGUUGGAAGCCUCUCUUGAAUCUUCCCAGCCAGUUGAGAACAAGGGCGAAGGGGGAUGGUCUAGGAUCACUGGGAAGGAAGGGAGAAAAGAGAAC
rnacentral:lncRNA from 1 species